AAUUUUCAUAAUAAAUAUUAAUAUUUAAAUAAUUUUUUAAUGCAUAAUCUAUAAACAUUGUAUUCAUUUUUAGUUCUUUUCACUUGUAUGAUAUUAUUAAUUUUUUGUUAGAUAUCAAUUUUUUCACAAGAUUUAACCAACCAAACAAGUAAAACCACCAUAAGCUAAAAUAAUAACUAACACACAUGUGAGAAGAAGAAAAUCUAUUCAAAAUCUUUCCAAAAAUUUUCAAGAGUAAAAUAAUCAAAAAAAUUUGCAAUAAGUUUCAAGUGUAUAAUUAUAACACAUCAACUUGUGAAAUUCAUUCAAGACCAUUAAAAUUUUACCAACAUACACUGUAAAAUAAUUAAAUUAUGAAAAAAAUAUGAUGAAUAAUACACAAAUGCACUUUUAAUAGAAUUUACGACGUAGACUUCAACUGCCGUCUAUAUUUGUAGAUUUACAAAAACGUCUACACUUAUUAUGUAACAUAUAGUCAAUCCAAAAAAUUUUAGUGUAUUUGGCGCAGGCUUGAUACACAAAGGCGUAAAAAGUGUGUCUUAUAUAACUCGAUCAAGUUUCGUACUUGUCGAUUAUUUGUGACAGGCAUAAGAGGAGUAUUUGCCUAUUCGGAGUCAUUUGUUGUAAAAUGACGUCUGGAAAGAAAUAGUUUAGCACCAUCUUCUCGAUUUUCUUGUCCAGAUCAUAAUCUUCUUGUGCCAUUUCAAGAAGUUUACCAUGUGUACACCCAUCAUGCACAAGAAACAUUCUUCAUCCUUUCUGAUUCCUCAUCUUUUUCGAAUUUUUUGUCACCCAAAAUGUCUUUGGCCCAUGCUUCACACUCGCUCUAAGCUUCCAACCACAUCCUUGAACAUGACACUUAGCCACCUACAGAGUUUUCGUUGUCUUAUAUGCUGAGAAUGUAAAUUCAUAUUCCACAGCCACCGACUUCAGCUUUGAAACAAGCUCAGCCUUACUAGCAAAAUUCUGACCGACAUAUAUAUUGUCCUUUAAGGACAAUGAUCUUCCUUCACCACCAGAGAAUCGUGCUUUAUAAACAUCAUAAAGCGUUUCAUUUGCAUCCUCGUUAGAAUCCUCAUCUUUCACUUUCCCGUAAUCACUGUAGUUUACACCAUCGUCAACAUCAACAGCAACAUCAGCAGUUGCUUGAACAUUAUCAGCAGUUUCUUGAACAUCAUCAGCAUCGGUACUAUCUUCAUCCCACUCUGAAUCAGUAUCUUGACCAGUAUCUUCAUAAGCAAAAUUACUAUCAUCACCAUCAGACACAUCCGCAUCAUCAUCAACUCCAGCUUCUACUUGGCUCUGGCUUGAUACACAAAGGCGUACAAAGUGUGUCUUAGCCAACUCGAUCAAGUUUCGCACUUUUCUAUCAUUCGUGACAUGCAUAGGAGGAGUAUCGGGAGCCAUUUUCUGUAAAAUGACGUCUGGUAAGGAAUAUGUUAGCACCACCUUCUCGAUUUUCUUGUCCAGACCAUAAUCUUCUAGUGCCAUUUGAUGAAGUUCACCAUGUGUACAACAUCUAGCACAAGAAACAUUAUCCCUCCUUUCCGAUUAUUGACCACAAACUCCCACAAAAAGACUUUCACCAGCCAUUUUCCGUAUACAACAGGUAUCUGAGCCAUUUCCUGCAAAAAAAAUACAUGUUUACAUAAUCAGCAAAGAAAUAUUUCAUGUUUCAUAAAACUAUAAACGAAGACUUACAAAUACGUCUAUAAUUAUUAGCUAACAACAUUGUCAAAAUCAAAUGAAUUAUACCUUCAUAAUUAUAAAAAAAUUUCUAUUCAAAAUCACUCAAACCCAUUAGGAUUAACUAACACACACUGUCAAACAAAAAAAAACUAGAAAAAACUUAAUGAAUAAUACACAAAUUCACAUUUUUAUAGAUUUUCUAUGCAGACUUAAUAUUCUGUCUCUGAAGAUGUAGACGUUCUUUUAAGUUUACAGACGUAGACUGUCAAAUAGGUCUACUCUUUGGGUUAGUUUUUGCAAUUGACUAUUUUACGGGUUGAUUUCUAUAGUUGAAAAAAAAUUGUGAUUUUGUACAUGUAGACUUUCAUUUCAGUCUACAAUUUAAAAAUGUUAGUUUUUGCAAUUGACCAAAAUUCAUCCAAGAUUUGACUUUCAAAACUAGACUUUACAUGCAGUCUACAUGUUUGAAUUUUUUUUAAAGAGGUUAGUUUUGCAAUUGACCAAGUUUGACUUCCAAUCAGUAGACUGAAAUGAACGUCUACGGGUGUGUAGACUUCUUGUGAAGUCUACUCUCAAAUCUGACGGGUGGUUUUGCAUUUGACCAAAAUAAAAAAGUAGACUUUAUAUGCAGUCUACAUUUUUUUUCUAAGAUAAGAAGACUACAUAUGAAUUCUACAAUUUAAUAAAUUUUUGAUUGUUUUAAACUUUUUGGUCAAACACAAAACUAACCUAUUCAACGAAGUCAAAGUUUUGGUCAAAUGCAAAACUGACCUUUUAUAAACUUCGUUGGCAGUCUACAUCCGUUGAAGUCUAUUUUGAAAAGUCAAAAGUUCGGUCAAAUGAAAAACUUACCUCUUUUAGGUAGACGUCUUAGUAAGUCUACCGAAAGUUUUAUUUUUGUUGUCAAAGGUAAAGACGGACACUACUGGAGAAGUCUGCGUCAGAAAAAAAAUUGUUUGGUCAAUUGCAAAACUAACCUGUGCGUUGACAAAUAGAUUGCAUCAUAAGUCUCCACGGAGGCGUAUACAUACAAAACAGUCUACCGUCGCGACACAGAUCUGAAAAAGAACGAAAACCAUGUAAAUAGUUACAUUUUUCCUGUGUAAAGCUCGUUUCCCACCUUUUCAACUGUCCAAACUCCAAAUAUGAGCAAAAAGAAGCAUCUUUGACGAUUCACUAAUGAAAAACUCGAAAAUAUGAAGUUUGUGAUUAUGAAAAUGAAUGUUAUGAGAAUUUUUAGAUGGAAAUGUAGAGGAGAUGAGAGGAAAUGAAGUUUUUUGGGUUAGAAUGAGAAAAAAAGUGGUUGAAAAUUGAAUUCUAGAGCUUUUAGAGCUCAAAAAUGGUGGUUCAUGGUGGUUAAAAAAAUUGUUGUUGAUGGCAUUUUUGUAAAUAAGAAGAAAUGGUUAGGGUGUAUUUGUUUUUUUGUUAAUUUCAAAAUUAAUAAAAAAUUAAAUAAAAAUGGCAAUUUUGUGAAUAAUUCAAAAAUAUAGGGAUAGUAUGGAAAUUUUAUUGCUGAAUAGUAUGGACAAAAAAAAAGUUGGUUUUGGGUUUGACUUGAAAAAGUGGGUUGGUUUUGAAAAACACCCUUAUUCUUAUGAGAAAAAUAAUUGUUGGACUAAACAAAUUUCGGUAGGUCAUGAUUCUAAUUUAAUAGAAUAGAUAAAUCAAGAAAUCAAAAUCGGUAACUAAAUCGAGAAAUGAAAACCAUAAGCAUCCCUAAUUUAUUUCUCCCCAAAUCCAUGAAACAAUAACAGAAUAAUAUUUCAACUGAAUUAAAUUGAAGGAAAAGAACUACGCUAAAAGAUAAACAAAAGAAGAAAUCAUCAUGAUAAUUAUGAAGAGUUUUGACAGGGACAUAUUUUCCAUUCCAUAUUCAGAUGGCGAAGGAGCAAACAUAGCAGGUGACUGAGCAGCAAGUGUUGGUGGUGAUUGUAUAAUCGUUGGUGAUGAACCGGGUUUAGCUGCAGAUGAAUGGCUACUUGCAGGUGAAGAAACAGACGGUGAUGUUGUGGUUAUUGAUGUGGAUGAACCGGAAGACAAUGUAGUUGUCGGUGGUUUCGAAGGAGAUACUGCAUAGAUACCAUUAAUCGAAUAUCAUUUCAACAAAUUUAAAUUUAAUCAUUAACAAAAAAAUAACAAUAUCUCUUAUUCCACAAGAGCAGUUUACUAGUGAAAAACUUGUUAGUCGUAAUAGUUAAGAAUCAUUUAAUUUUUUUUUAAAGUAAAUGAACCAUAAUCAUUAGAUAAGGAAAAAAAAAAUAAGAUACCAAAAUGAGGAUCGAUGGGGAUGUUACAAGUAGAAGGCAUUGCAAGAGCUCUAUUGUUAAUCAAAUCAAACCCAAUUGCACGACUACUCUCCAACGCAAUGCAUAGACAGCUAGAGUUAUAUUCAAGAACAAUUUUAAUCCCUUCGCAACAUGUUUUGGUAGGACUUAGAUCAGUUGAUCCAACUGUCAAAAAGGAAAGACAAUCAAACAUGCCGUAAACUACUGUGGAGCAAUCAUUGUUUGAUGGUUCAGAUGAUGGAGAGAACACAGGUGACUCUGACGGCGACAUGAAUACAGCGGCAUCGCAUGAUAGAAGUAGCAAUACAUUAGAUAAAACAACUAAAUGCUUCAUUAUUUUUUGUUCUUCUCUUUUCUUUUCAGUUUGAUUUAUUUUCUUUAACCUUUUUACUGGGAGAUCAACAACUUCUACGUCUAUAUAUAAGGUUAUGAAAGAAUAUAACUGUUUGGUGUACCAUAUUCUCUUUUCGAAUUUAAAAUAGUUCUUGUUAUUUGAAAAUUUGUUUUUAUAUUAAAUAAUUUUAAAAAGUUACUAGAGUUUGUCUUGUUUGUGCCGUUAUUUUUUGGGAAAAUUGCGGAUAAGGAACAAAACAACUAUAGAUUUUUCUCCUUAGUAUUAAAUCAUAAAUCUUUGUUCCUAUAGAAUAAACAAUAGUGAAUACCCUAAUUGUCAUUUACUUUAACAUAUAGUUACCAUAAAAAAUUAAUUUUACUUUAAUGAAAUAGAAAGUAAAAGGAGUAAAAGUUUUAAACAAAAAUACAACCUUGUCGUCGUCUCCGACUCCUAUCUCAAUUGAAGAAGAUGCGAUUUCGUUCGCCGUCGCCACCGUCUUGAGCUGGCCGUCUAAGUUUGUCGGAGAGGUUGAAAUCGUCAUCCCAUCUCUCCGUCGUCCUCCUUCUUUCAUUGCCACAUCACUUCGUCUUUCCUCAGUUAUUACCGCCGUCGUCACAUCUCUUCGUCCUUCCUUCCUCGUCACAUCUCUUCGUCUUUCAUUUGAAAUCGUUGUCACGAUUAGAUUCACAUUGUUCUUUUUUUGUUCUUGCUUCAUCUCCGUUCCCAAAAAAUGAAGGUUAGGGGUUGGAAAUCCCCUUUAUUAUUUUUCUUUAUUUUGUUCGUUUUUAUGGUUUUGCACGUUUACGGUUUUGAUUUUAGUUUGUGGUUGAGUUGAUUGUAGUUUGUUGUUGAGUUCGAUUCACGUUUUUAAACACAAUUCGAUUCGAUUCACAUUUAUAGUUCUCAAUUCCUAAUAGACUUGAAAAGGCUAAUUAGUUUGACAUGUAAAUAGAUCGAUUUUACAUAUUGUUAAUGUGAUCAGUUGAUUUGGCUCUGUUUCUUUGCCGUGUUUGAACCAUGCGUGUAGAGAAAAACACAUAUGCUAGUUGAUUAUGAUUGUUAUGUGCUGUUUUUGAAUGUCUAAUAUUUUGAUUGUGAGAUUGAUUUAUAUUUACUUUGGAAUUGUGUUUGUAUGUCCUUAAAGGAAUGGCUAACGAGUUGAAGUUUAUGAUUUCAUGUUUUAUAGGAAUGGCUUAUCAGUUUCCAAAACGCAUUCUUGAAGAAGGAGCUGAGACUCAGAUUGAUAAAAUUAACAACACCUGUAGACGUACGAUUCUUGAAACGGUGAAGGGUGUUCUCAAGGAUGAGUAUGAAGAAGUAUUGAAAGACCCGGUCUUCGGUCCAAUUCUGGCAAUCGUAGAAAAUAAGCUCAUUUACUCUGGGAAGUUUAUUCACAGCUUCAUAUGCAAGCAUCUCAAGGUUUCCAAGCUCCAUGGGUUGUGGUUUCUGUUUGUAAAGCGGCCUCUCAGGUUUUCUAUGCAAGAAUUUGAUGCUGUGACUGGUUUGAAGUUCAAAGAUGAACCGAAGAUAGACUUCAUUAACUAGAAGGAUGAUAAGGGGUUCUGGAGCCUCGUGCUGAAGAAAAAUAGAAAGAUUAACUUAUUCAGUGUAAGGGAUGAGCUUCUUAAAGAGUGUAAGGAGUGGACGUAUCUGGACAGGGUGAGGCUAGUAUAUCUGUGUAUUAUACAUGGAUUCAUCAUGGCUAAGGAUUGGAAAGUGUCUAUCCCUCAAGAAUACAUCCGUUUGGUGAUGGAUUUUGAAAAGUUGAGGAUGUAUCCUUGGGGUCUUCGCGUGUAUGAUGAGCUGUUUGUAUCAAUAUUUAGAGCAAGGGAAGAUUUGCAUCUGAAGAACAGUUACGUGUUGGAUGGAUUCUCAUAUGCGUUUCAGAUAUGGAUUAUGGAGGCAGUCCCAGACAUUGGUACUAUGGUGGGUAAAAAGAUUAAAAAAAAUAUCACCAAAGUGAGAUGUAGAAAUUGGAAAGGAAGUGGAAAAGUAUCCUACCAAGAUAUCAGUACCCUAGAGUCACACUUCGAUAAGGUAACUAUCUUUCUUCUAUGAAUAUUGAAUUCUAAAAUUUGAACAAUUUAUGCUUAAUGGUUUGUUUGUUCUUGGCAGGGAGAGCUGUUCCCCUUUGUAUCAUACUGGGAACCAUGAUGUGGUUGAUAAUGCUGAGUUCAUUAGGGAAGAUGAAAAAAAGGAUGAAAGAGUUGGUCGAAUUUUUGCUCUGAUGAAUGCCAAACAAGAUUGGAACCAAUUCGCUUGGGAAGUUGAGGAUUGGCCUCAAAAUGUGGAGCUUUCUGAUUCAGAAGAUGAUGUUGAAGUCGAAGAUGUCACAGAGGAACCGUCUGCUGUUGCAGAGGAACCGGUUGUUGUUGCAAAAAGGGGCAAGCGCAAGCUUUUAUUGAUCCAGGUGUCGAGUCUCGAAAGAAACAACUGCUUUGUCAACGGGCGGCUGAGCAUAACAGUGGUGCCUCCGGUGAUCUGAAGACCUUCAUUAAAGGUUUGUUCACCUCUUCUUUGAACUCUUUAAAGGAGCUGGUGCAAAAGGACAUCCAAGAGCAUUUUGACAAGGUCCAUAAUGAGAUGGCUCAACUUAAGGAAACGAUGUCUCAAGUUACGGGUCCUUCACAUACAGAGGGAUAAACCAAAGCAUCUGAGAGUCCGGGUCCUUCACAUACAGAGGGAAAAUACCAAGACAAAUCAUCACAGAGGAACCGGUUGUUGUUGCAAAAAGGGGCAAGCGCAAGCUUAUUGAUCCAGGUGUCGAGUCUCGAAAGAAACAACUGCUUUGUCAACGGGCGGCUGAGCAUAACAGUGGUGCCUCCGGUGAUCUGAAGACCUUCAUUAAAGGUUUGUUCACCUGUUCUUUGAACUCUUUAAAGGAGCUGGUGCAAAAGGACAUCCAAGAGCAUUUUGACAAGGUCCAUAAUGAGAUGGCUCAACUCAAGGAAACGAUGUCUCAAGUUACGGGUCCUUCACAUACAGAGGGAGAAACCAAAGCAUCUGAGAGUCCGGGUCCUUCACAUACAGAGGGAAAAUACCAAGACAAAUCAUCACAGAGUCCGGGUCCUUCAGCAGCAAAGGGAAAAGGCAAAGGCAAGGCAGCUGAGAGUUUGCCUCCUCCCACGGUUCGUCGUAGCCCUCGGCCAGUAAGAAAGGUAACAAAAUAAUGAAUAUUUUGUAAUGUUCCAUAUUGGGUUUGAAUCUUUUGUAAUGUUCUGUUCUUUGUAUUUUGUUGUAAUUGCUAUGUAGUUUGACACGGUUGUAAUGUGGUUGUAUUUUGUUAUGUGGCAUAACGGUUGACUUGAUUGUAAUUUUAUUUGUAUGAAGUGAAAAACUUUCUAUUAAUGUUAUGCUUGGUUGUAUUAACAAGAUGUUCAAAAUUUUGAAGACGACAUGAUGGAUUUUUUGAAGAAUUUGUCACAAUCAUCAAACAUCAAAGUAGAAAUGCAGACCCAAGAGUACUUACAAGAUACCAUGGGAAACUUUUCUCAAUUAUCAUAUGUUAAAGGUUUCGAUCCAACACAAAACUCAAUGGCGAAGAACCAGCCGAAUGCGUUACUCCACUGACUUCAUUUAAGCCUGCGGAUUGGAGACCACCUACUCUCAAAGAUAUCGACUUACAUGAAGAUCGGGUGAAUAACAGCGAUUACUCACUAGUGUUUGUCCUUGAGGAUUCAUGGGCCAAACUGAUUAAGUGGUCCUCAACUUCCAUGUAAGUUUUAUAGUGUUUCUUCAUGUCUUAUAAUUCAAUCUUUCUAUAACUGAAUUUUGCAUUGCAGUAAACUGAAAAUUGGACCUACUAAGUUCACAAGUGAGUUAGCAACACAUGUCAUGGGACCUACAGAGUGGCUGUUUAAUAAUGUGAGUUUUUAAUUUGUUAAUUCUUAUUUUCUGCACAUCGACUUGCAAUCUCUUAUCAAAUUUUCAGGAAAUUGAUGCUAUGAUGUACUUAUUCACUGAGAGGACUUCCUUGCGAUGAUGGGAACUAAUUAAAGUAGCAUUCAUGAUCUGCAUGUUCAGUAAUCAAAUGAAGAACUCUUUCGAAGAGUUUCGGAAGGAAAAGAAAGAAUUCAAAGUAACAAGACUGCUACACCAGUACGACAUUGGUGAACUUCCAGCACACGGGCGAACAUGACUAAAUUGGGAUGUUUAUGUUACACGUAUGUAUGUGCCCCUUAAUGUCGGUAAACACUGGAUCUCUAUGUGCGUCAACUUUGUUUCUCGUUCAAUAGAGGUCUUUGACUGUGACGGAUUGAAGCACACCAAGUCAGUGGAGCCAUUUGUCGUUCUCAUCCCUAGAAUUGUCAAAGCUGUCAAUUCUUCAAACAACUCAAAACUCAAAGUUAAGCAAUAUACCGUAAGUUACGCCCAAUGCCCUUACUAAACAAGAGUAGCAGUGAUUGUGAAGUAUAUGCCUUAAAGCACAUUGAAUGUCAUCUUCAAAACUUGGACUUCUCCCUGGUGAAUGACAACAACAUUCGAGAAACGCGCCAAAAGAUUGCUUAUGACUUAUGGGAAGCUGCUAAUGAUCAUGUGCUUAUUUCGAGAAUGGCACAAUUCACUCCUCCAAAGACAAUUACAAAUCCUGUCGUGGAACUUGAAUGACGUUUUUUCAAUUAUGACUUGUGUAGGAAGAAUGUGUUAUUUGACUCUUUUAUUUGUCUCUCUUAGCUACUCUUUAUCUUUUAUUUGAAUUUUUUAGUUACUCUUUUUGACAAUAUAAAUCCCUAACUAUACCCUAAAUGACUGGUAUGCGAAGACAUUUUCUUUAACAACCUCUAAAGAUAACCUAAUUGAUACUAAACUAAAACUUAAACUAUAUCAACCCCUAAUGAAACCCUAAAUGACACUAAAGUAAGACCUAAACGAUUUCAACCCUUGUCUAUACCAUAAAUGAUAGUAAAGUAAGACAGUAACGAUUUCAACCCCUAUCUAUACCCUAAAUGACAGUUAAGUAAGACAGUAAUGAUUUCAACCAAAUUAAUCGACAUAAAUCUUAUAAAUCAGAAAAAAAUCUUAAUAAUAAAAACACAUACAAGUUGACCCUAAAACCCAACCCGAUUAAAAGCAUUUUUUUCCCUAAAAAACUUAUAUAAGACCAAAAAAUAGCCAGAUAACCCUACAUAUUCCAUCGUUUAUUUCUCCAACUUUUCUUAGAAAACCUCUUCUUCUCAAUAAAUAAUGGCGAACAUGAAUAAUAAUGAAGGGAUCCCUUCCAGAUGUUGGUGUGGGAAGCGGAUUGUCACUUAUGUUUCCAAAACAGAGGAGAACCCACACAGACGAUUCUUCAGAUGUGAGAUAUCUUUAUAGGUAAAUCUGAAAUUUCAUUUGUCUCAUUCUUCUAUAUGGAAAAUUGACUUGUUUUUGUGUUUUCAAACAGAGAAAGAGAGAAAAUCAUCUUUUUAAGUGGGUCGACGAGGCUCUAUUUGUUGAGAUUCAACGGAUAAAAUGAGCAUCAGGCGAGAAUUGCCGAGGAAAUAGAAGAUCUGAGAAGUUCUAUGAAGAAGACAGUGCAUGAUGAAGUUAUGAAGCAUAAGAAUUCGCUCGAUGUAGGUUGUGUAGCGUCUAUUCUCAGUAUUUUAUGUCUCUGUUCCAAAUGUGAUUGAUGUUCUGAUUGUUCUCUAAUUCAAGUUACAUUGUCAAAGAUUGAACCAAUUUGAUUUCCAGUUUUAUCGUCAUCUAGCGAACCAAUAUGAAAAUAAAACAUCUAUUGAAUUAUAUUGUUAAGACCUAAACGAUUUCCAGUUGUAUCAUUUUACAUGAACAAACUGAAACAUAACUUCCAAAAACGAGAAAAACAAAAUGCAUAAAAUGACUGAAUUCAACAUGAAAAAAACUGAAUUACUUGCAUAAAACGAGAAGAAAGAAACACAUAGUCUCUGAAACAUAACUUGCGUAGAAUGAAUUGAGAAUCCUAUAUUUCCUUAUCACAUGUUCUCCUGUUGUGACCUUCAAUCCCACAUCGCCUGCAUUUCCGAACUGUAGAGCCUUGAGUUCCUUGUGUCGAACGGAUCUUAUCUUCGACUGUCUCGUAUCUUCAUUUUUUUCUCCUACCUGCAGUUCGUCUACUCUCUUGAGGAAGGAUUUUCGACUUCUCCACAUGAGAUGGAACUUUCCAUGCAUCUUCGGGGAUGCUAAUAGGAUUUAUGCUUUCUUCAUAAGCCCAGCGUCAUGAGGCAGUAGUGUACAUGUGAUCUGAUAGUAUGUGUGGUCUUAUUCCAACACUGAAGCCUGCUUUUAUGGCGUGCCUGCAUGGGAUUUUCAUCAGAUCAAAUUUUCCACAAGAACACGUGCGUCUGACCAAGUCAACCGAGCAGUCAAAAGUGUCACCUUUAACUAAAAACCUAUGAUCGCUAACUGGAAAGACCUUAACCGUUUUACCCUUCUAAAUCCUUCUGUCAAUCUUCUUCUUCACAGCAAUUGUCAGUGGCUUCGAAUGCUUAGAACUUAAAGUUAUACGUUUGAAAAAAUAUUGAGUCAUCAUUUCCCUAAUGCUGUCCAACAAAGGUCUCACGGGAAACUCUCUAGGCAUAUGCAAAGCAUCAUUUAUUGACUCCACAGGGUUAGUAGUCCUAAUAUCAUAUUUGGAACCCGGAAACUGACAACGAGCCCAGUUCCUCUCAUCGGCAUCUAUGAGAUAAUUUCCAAUUUUAGGACUAAUAGCGAAAAUAUCAGUGAACACCUUACGAAAAAUCCGCAGCUCGAUAAGCUUUAGAAGCCUUUGCAACCAAACCAGGCACACCUUUCUGGCUGAAAUAUGUUACAACAUUAUUCAGCAAGUGGUGAAUGAAAAUUCUAUGAUGAGCUUGCGGGUACACUUUUGCAAUAGCUUUAGCAAUUGAGGAAUUCUUAUCAGACACAAAAGCUAAACUAUGGUCGUCAGCAAUGACCACAUUAAGUUGUCUCAUAAACCAGUUCCAUGUGAGGUCAUUCUCUGAGUCGACAACUUCAAAGGCAAUAGGAUAUAAACUCGAGUUUCCAUCUAAUGCAGUAGCAAUUAGUAAUACUCCUUUGUAUUUGCUCUUCAAAAACGUCUCAUCCACCACAAUAACUUUUCGAAUUGCAGCAUAGAAACCGUGAACACUCUGACCAAACGAGAUGAAGAGGAAUCUGAAUCUCCCUUUUGUAUCCCUUUCAUAAAACGUGUGUGACCCUGGAUUAGCUUCCUUCAUCAUGUGCAAGUAUUUGGGAAUUUUUUCAUAAACUUUCUCUGGAAUACCUUUCACUGCGUUGAUUGCAUAUUCACGUGCAUCCCAUGACAAAGAAUAGGAUAUCUCAACUCCAUGUACAAUACGGAUAUACUGGAUUAUAUCAUUCGAUCUCAGCCCUUGUUUAGCAGUUUCAUACUUAUACAUAAUCAGGGUAACCACUGUUUUUGCUGAAACUGUCCUAACAUAACCCUUCCUAUUGAAUGCAGCACAUGAAUGAUAGGUACAUACUUUUCGAUGAUAAAAUAUGAUGAGCCUGUUAAUCCCUCUACACGAACAUGCCAGCUGCAAUCAUCAUCUGAGCAACGAAUGUACCACACUUUUUUUAUCCGAUAUGGGAACCACGUAGUCGAAAUUAUGUUUCAUUGCACAUAUUUCGAAUGCUGCCUUCAAAAGUGUUUUGGAACUAAAAGAUUGACCCUUUUUCACAACAUCCACCAAAGAGAAGCGAACACUAUCUUCAUUGAUCUUCUCUUUGUCACACUUUUUGUCAUCUUCACUGUCAGGUACCUCAAUAUCUUCUUCUGAAUCCAUAUCAGCUGCAUCGUCAGAGUCCAUAUGACCUGAAUCGUCAGACUCCAUAGGCUCUUCCUCUCUGUUAGGCGACUCAGUACCUUAUUCCGCUAUGUUAGGGGCUUGAGUACUCACACACAACUGCGUCGAAGCUUUGUUCUUUACAUAUGUAAGAAAAAUUUUAACUUGCCAAUCACUGGUGAUGAUAACGGGUGGCGAGCUGAUGCUAUUGAUCAAAUCGGAAGGUAAAUAACUCAGCUCUAUAUUGACCAUGUUUACAUCAAUUCCAAAGUCUUCUCACACCAUAACCUUUAGGUUUUCAAAGCUUGAACUUGUGUCCAAAGUAAGUAACUUGCCUCCUUUUUCUUCAUCAACAAGAAAUCCCCAUCCAUUGUUCAUCGACGAUUUCCACAAACCACAUGAAGCAUAGAUGUUAAUCUUCAUAUUUUAGAAUGACAAAAGUUUGGAAGAACUAAAAAAUGAAGAAGAACUUCCACGUUUAAUUUCAGAAAUCGUGCUAUGUUGAAGAAGAAGACUAGAUUUUAGGGAAAAAAAAAAUAAAAAAGGAUAUAAAAACAUUUAAAAGAUUUACUGAAUAUUUCAUAAUCGUUUUUGGCUAGAUUUUCGGAUUUUAUAAUUUUAUUAGGUAGAAAUUGCAUUCUAUCUGUUUAGAAAUUAGAAGGUCUGGUAGAAUAUUGUAUACCACCAAUGUAGAUAAAAAGACAAUUCGAAUAAUGCAUUUCCUACCUUAGUAGAUUAAUUAAUUUUUGUAGUUCAUCAAAUCUAUCAGUUAUGUAGAGGAUAGAGGGAAUGAGGAUUUUAUAUUCUUCCCUAGUAGUUAUUAAUGUUUCCGGUGUAUUGCGCAUUCUACGGUUGGUAGAUAACUAUGUCUUUGUUAGAUUAUAUAUUCCAAACCUCCGUGGAUGGUAGAUAUGAUUUUCUAACACCUUUACCCCAUUUCUGAAAUUACUAUUCAAACAUCUUUUGAAUCCAAAUAUUUUUUUUAUAUGCAGUUGCUUAUCUACAUCAAAUAUACUAUUUUCCAUAUUUUUUGCAUUUUAAAAAAAUUGAUAUGAAUUUUUAUAUACAAAAAGGGUAGUGAAUGUCCAAAAGUGACAAACGUUGAUUUUAUUCUAAGGAGACAAUACCUUAGUUUAGUUGUUCUAUAUUGGCAAUUUUCCCUUACUUUUUCCAUUUUUAUAUUUUUACUUGGUUUUAUAAUAAUUAUUUUAAUACAUUGUUCACAUUUUUUAUAUAUUAUGUAUUAUUUUAUUCAUGUGUUUUGUAUUAAUAUAUAACUAGAUUUUGGUCCGCGCUUUAAAAGUGCAGGAUUUUCCAUUUUUUAAUAUUUAAUUUUAUAACAUAAAAUGUGUACUUAAAUUUUAUAUAAUAUUUUUAACAUUAUUUAAUAGUUAUUUGCAAAAAAAAACAUUAUUAAUAGUUGUUUUAUAUUUUUUGGAUGACCAAUAUCUUAAAAAAAGAGGAAAAUUUUACUUUUACACUUUGUUGGAUACCACUUUUCAACUUUACCAUAAGUCUGAGGACAUUUUCAGAAAUACCACUUUCAUUAAUGAGCAAAAGACAAUAAUACUCUUACCUUAUCUUCUUCUCCACCAUCGGUUUCUCUCCCUCUCCCCGAGUCAUCGUUGUCUCUCUCUCACCGUCGAGUCACCAUCGUCUCUAUCUCUCCGUCGAGUUCCGGCGUCUCUCUCACCGUCUAGUUCCGGCGUCUCUCUCUCACCGUCGACUCCUAUACAUGAUUCACAACUUUUGGAUAGCAAUGAGUUUUGCACAAAUUUGAGUUUGCCUCCUAGGAUUUAUGGAGCUGGAACAGAACCACAAGACAAUCACAAAGUGAUCAUCUAACAUUCAAACAUGGAUUAUGUCUCUUAGGUUGCUGAUAUAUUGGGAAAAGAAGAGUUUGCGCAGAUAGAGAACUCACACAUUGGAAGCAUUGUGAAGCUGGCAAGAAGGAUUAGCGUUCAGUUUUCAGAGAUCUGUUCCAUUUUCUCAUGCAGCAAAGAAUAGUGACGAAAGGAACAGGUCUUUGGUUUUCAUUCUCUGAUCAACCAAUGAGGUUUUCAAUGAGAGAAUUUAAUCUGACAACAGGGUUAGCUUGUGAGCAAGAUAAAACAGAAAAAGAGCCAUUGUUCAGACAAGUGAAGAAACCUUAUCUUUGGAUGCUAAGCAAGGGGGACAAGUACACAGUGAGAAGCUUGUAUGAUCUGCCCAAAAAGAAAGCAAAAACAAUGACAAGACUAGAGAGACUAUCUAUAGGAAUAGCAAUAAUCACAGAAGGGGUAAUUAUUGCAGAAAACUCAAGCUCUCUAAUCACAGAAGGAAUCUCGAAGCUACUGGUCUCUCAGUGCAUUAACCUUCAGUCUGGUUCUCAGAAUAAAACUAUUCAUGUAUGUUUAUAAAGGUUUAUAAAACCAAUCAUAUGGAUAUAUGAAAUAGUUUUGUAUAUAAAUCAUUUAUAAGAGAUUAUAAAACCAUUUAUGAACCAUUUAUAAAUUUUAUAAGAGCUUAUAAAUCCUUGUAUCAACCAUCUAUAAAUUUUAUAAAACACAUAUAAGAGAAAUAUAAAUCUAUUCAUAAGAGUUUAUAAAUCUAUUUAUAACGGUUUAUUCAAAAGAUUAUAAGAGUUUAAUAAUCUUCAUAGCACAAUUUAUAAGGGGUUAUAAAUCAAUUUAGAAGUGUUUAUAAAUCAAUUUAGAAGUGUUUAUAAUAGAUCAUACAAGCCACUCUUUAUGACCAAGGCCAUCAAGAUUCAAGGUUUUGACAGCGACAGUAAGGCCAGUGCCAGGCUGAACAGGAGCAGUUCCGUUCUCCUCCAACCAUCCUUUAAAGACACAACCAAAGCCACCUUCUCCGAGAAGACUUUCUGGUCUGAAAUUUCUUGUAGCCAACUUGAGAUCAAGGAAAGGAAACUGCUUGACAUGAGAAUACAUCUUAAGCUCUUCACUGAUCAUAGGAGUGGAAAAGGAGAUUUCAGCAUUGGUGGUUGUUGCUAAUGUAAAAGAAGAAGAAACAGGGCCAGCUGGUUGCUCAUUUGAUUUCACAGUUGCUGUCGACUUACUUCCUAGUGUUAAAAACAAAAAAAAAACCAUAUAGAUUAGGAUGAAAGUAGUUAAGCUCAAACUCUGAUUCUGAAAGUUAGGUAAACCAACCACAUUGGACACAUACGGGAGAGAAUCUUAGAUGAAAAUUUUAAGUCUAUUU